rnacentral:rRNA from 1 species
UACGAAGGGGGCUAGCGUUGUUCGGAAUUACUGGGCGUAAAGGGCGCGUAGGCGGCUGUCCAAGUCAGAUGUGAAAGCCCCGGGCUUAACCUGGGAAUUGCAUUUGAGACUGGGCGGCUUGAGUUUCGGAGAGGUUAGUGGAAUUCCCAGUGUAGAGGUGAAAUUCGUAGAUAUUGGGAAGAACACCAGUGGCGAAGGCGGCUAACUGGUCCAGCACUGACGCUGAGGUGCGAAAGCGUGGGGAGCAAACAGG